rnacentral:tRNA from 1 species
GGGCCCUUAGCUCAACAGGGUAGAGCAACCGAGUUAAUCGGGAGGUUUCAGGUUCGACUCCUGGAGGGUCCACCA